rnacentral:misc_RNA from 1 species
AAGUCGUAACAAGGUUUCCGUAGGUGAACCUGCGGAAGGAUCAUUACAAAUGCACGAAGCAUCUUAUUGGACCCUGUUGAAUGGUUGACCAAUGGGAGGGGCGGGGGCCACUGAUCGAUGUGAUUGGUUGGUCCUUGCCCCUUUCUUGAUGGACACUGCAUAGUAUAUGGACAGAGGGGCGCCGUGUGCGCAUGUGAAUGGUGAUUGUAACCCAAUCUAUCCACCAUGUGCGCACCGUGCCCCGUCAUUAAAAUGAAUCGUAAUGUGACAAACUUUUAACAAUGGAUCUCUUGGCUCUU